UCGAGAAUCUUCCGCAAUGGACGAAAGUCUGACGGAGCGACGCCGCGUGAAGGAUGAAGUCCCUCGGGACGUAAACUUCUUUUAUGAGGGAGGAAAUUUUGACGUGUACCUCAUGAAUAAGGGGCUCCUAACUCUGUGCCAGCAGGAGCGGUAAUACAGAGGCCUCAAGCGUUAUCCGGAUUUAUUGGGCGUAAAGGGUGCGUAGGCGGUUAUGUUAGUCUUUUGUCAAAUCUCCCGGCUCAACCGGGAACUCGCAAAGGAAACGGCAUAACUCGAGGAUGUGAGAGGUGUACGGAACUCACGGUGUAGGGGUGAAAUCCGUUGAUAUCGUGGGGAACACCAAAAGCGAAGGCAGUACACUGGCACAUUCCUGACGCUGAAGCACGAAAGCGUGGGUAGC
rnacentral:rRNA from 1 species